CGGCAACAGCUCAAAUUUGAAAUCUGGCCUCUUUCGGGGUCCGAGUUGUAAUUUGUAGAGGAUGUUUUGGGUACCGCGCUGGUUUAAAUUUCUUGGAACAGAAUGUCAGAGAGGGUGAGAAUCCCGUCUUGGACCGGCGUAGGACCC
rnacentral:rRNA from 1 species